rnacentral:rRNA from 1 species
GACGAACGCGGCCGGCGUGCUUAAUCCAUCCAAGUCAAGGGGGGUGGGUACGACAGAUUCUUUCGGGAGGAAGUUAGUUUUUUUCUUACCCGCCGGCCGGGGGAGAAAUAAAUGGGCAGCCACCCCCCCCACCAGGCCCGUGAUAAACCAGAGGGAAACCGCUUGCUACUACCGGAUUCCCUUUAGUUGGGAGGCCUUCUUUUUAAUAAAGAAAAGUGUUAGCCGCUUUUAGGAUGGGCCCCCGCUCCCCAUUAGCUAGUUGGUGGAGGGUAACGGCUCACCAAGGCGACGAUGGGUAGCCGCCCCUGAGAAGGGUGGACGCCCACACUGGGACUGAGACACGGCCCAGACUCCUACGGGAGGCAGCAGUAGGGAAUUAUUGGGCAAUGGAGGAAACUCUGACGCAGCGACGCCGCGUGAGCGAUGAAGGUCUUCGGAUCGUAAAGCUCUGUCCUCAGGGAAGAAGAAAGUGACGGUAC